rnacentral:rRNA from 1 species
GAUGAACGCUGGCGGCGUGCCUAAUACAUGCAAGUCGAGCGAACAGACGAGGAGCUUGCUCCUCUGACGUUAGCGGCGGACGGGUGAGUAACACGUGGAUAACCUACCUAUAAGACUGGGAUAACUUCGGGAAACCGGAGCUAAUACCGGAUAAUAUAUUGAACCGCAUGGUUCAAUAGUGAAAGACGGUUUUGCUGUCACUUAUAGAUGGAUCCGCGCCGCAUUAGCUAGUUGGUAAGGUAACGGCUUACCAAGGCAACGAUGCGUAGCCGACCUGAGAGGGUGAUCGGCCACACUGGAACUGAGACACGGUCCAGACUCCUACGGGAGGCAGCAGUAGGGAAUCUUCCGCAAUGGGCGAAAGCCUGACGGAGCAACGCCGCGUGAGUGAUGAAGGUCUUCGGAUCGUAAAACUCUGUUAUUAGGGAAGAACAAAUGUGUAAGUAACUAUGCACGUCUUGACGGUACCUAAUCAGAAAGCCAUGGCUAACUACGU